NNNNNNNNNCUGCGGCUUAAUUUGACUCAACACGGGGAAACUCACCCGGCCCGGACACAGUGAGGAUUGACAGAUUGAGAGUUCUUUCUUGAUUCUGUGGGUGGUGGUGCAUGGCCGUUCUUAGUUGGUGGAGCGAUUUGUCUGGUUAAUUCCGAUAACGAACGAGACUCUGGCAUGUUAAAUAGUCGCGGAAGUGCGUAUGCACUUGCCGAAUUGACUUCUUAGAGGGACUAGUGAUUUUAAUUCACACGAGAUUGAGCAAUAACAGGUCUGUGAUGCCCUUAGAUGUUCGGGGCCGCACGCGCGCUACAAUGAGUCGAUCAACGUGCGUAUAUUUCCAAGGCCGAAAGGUCGAGGUAAUCCGUUGAACCCGACUCGUGCUAGGGAUAGGGACUUGUAAUUGUUUCCCUUGAACGAGGAAUUCCCAGUAAGCGCAAGUCAUCAGCUUGCGUUGAUUACGUCCC
rnacentral:ncRNA from 1 species